AGACCAUGCAGAUAAAGCUUUAAAACACACACACCUGGGCUGUCAGAGGGCCGCUCCGGAGAUUUACCCAGUUCUUAGGGUUGCUGUGGAGACAAGGUGACUCACGUACAGUGUGAGAAUAGUGCCCCAUACGUAGCACUUGCUUAACAACCACUGCCAUCCCUGGGAUGAUGAACACCAGAGAUGACAGGCAGCGGCAUGAGAAGCAGACAAGACCACUACAUAUUUUGAAAGAUUCAAAUCUUCUGGAAGCCCGAUGACCUUUAUGUAAUUAAGACCCAAGACCAAGAGGGAGCUCUCUCCGAACAGCGAACAGCUGACCUCCGCUCUGGGCGCCCUCCCGAAGGCUGCCACAGGAAAUGCGAC